rnacentral:rRNA from 1 species
UAGGGAAUCUUCGGCAAUGGACGAAAGUCUGACCGAGCAACGCCGCGUGAGUGAAGAAGGUUUUCGGAUCGUAAAGCUCUGUUGUAGGGGAAGAACGACUCAUAAGCGAAUAGGUUAUGAGAGUGACGGUACCCUACCAGAAAGCCACGGCUAACUACGUGCCAGCAGCCGCGGUAAUACGUAGGUGGCAAGCGUUGUCCGGAAUUAUUGGGCGUAAAGCGCGCGCAGGCGGUCUCUUAAGUCUGAUGUGAAAGCCCCCGGCUCAACCGGGGAGGGUCAUUGGAAACUGGGAGACUUGAGUACUGGAGAGAAGAGUGGAAUUCCACGUGUAGCGGUGAAAUGCGUAGAGAUGUGGAGGAACACCAGUGGCGAAGGCGACUCUUUGGCCAGAAACUGACGCUGAGGCGCGAAAGCGUGGGGAGCAAACA